rnacentral:tRNA from 2 species
GGAGAGAUGGCCGAGUGGUCGAAGGCGCUGGACUGGAAUUCCAGUAACAUCCUCACAGGUGUUCCAGGGUUCGAAUCCCUGUCUCUCCGCCA